rnacentral:tRNA from 1 species
UUCAGGGAGACCUUACCCACUCAAAUCCGAAAGCAAAGUGCAAAUAGGAAUGAGUCUGGUCAACCUAGGUCGUUCGAGAAUUAUGUGUGGCUCUCAAGCUUGUCUGGGUUUGCUUCUAAGAAGAAGGAAAACGAGGGCUAUUAGCUCAGGUGGUUAGAGCGCACCCCUGAUAAGGGUGAGGUCCCUGGUUCGAGUCCAGGAUGGCCCACCUUCCCAAUCAUGCUCAGAAUUUUCUGAUUUCCGAAUUCGGUUUUUCGAUUUCCAAAUCCGUUUGGCUAUCCGAUUUCCGAGCCCAAUUGAAGCGAUUAGCAUCAGUCCAGCAUCUUCCACCACAAAGAAGACUGCUGAACUGAAGUUCAGCCAGAACCUUGAAAACUGCAUAGCAACAAAAGCCAAAGCAAGGUA